AAAUAAGAAAUAAAUUUAGUUUCGACCUAAAUAUAGAAAAAUUUUUUCCUUAUUUA
rnacentral:tRNA from 1 species